UACGUAGGCAGCGAGCGUUGUUCGGAGUUACUGGGCGUAAAGAGUGUGUAGGCGGUGUUCCCAGUCUGUUGUGAAAUCUCCCGGCUUAACUGGGAGGGUGCAGCGGAAACUAGAAUGCUAGAGGGUGGGAGAGGUAAGCGGAAUUCCUGGUGUAGCGGUGAAAUGCGUAGAUAUCAGGAGGAACACCUGUGGUGUAGACAGCUUACUGGACCACUUCUGACGCUGAGACACGAAAGCGUGGGGAGCAAACAGG
rnacentral:rRNA from 1 species